CCUACGGGUGGCAGCAGUGAGGAAUAUUGGUCAAUGGGCGCGAGCCUGAACCAGCCAAGUCGCGUGAAGGAAGACGGCCCUACGGAUUGUAAAUUUCUUUUAUAGGGGAGUAAAAUACGCCACGCGUGUUUUUCCGUGCGUACCUUACGAAUAAGCAUCGGCUAACUCCGUGCCAGCAGCCGCGGUAAUACGGAGGAUUCGAGCGUUUUCCGGAUUUAUUGGGUUUAAAGGGUGUGGAGGUGGGGGGUCAAGUCCGCUGGGAAAGUUGCGGGCUCAACCCUAGAACUGCAGUUGAAACUGCAAGCCUUGAGUGCAGGAGAGGUAGGCGGAAUGCGUGGUGUAGCGGUGAAAUGCGUAGAUAUCACGAAGAACUCCGAUUGCGAAGGCAGCAUACUGGAGCGCAACUGACGCUGAUGCACGAAAGCGUGGGUAUCGAACAGGAUUAGAUACCCGAGUAGUC
rnacentral:rRNA from 1 species